UUGGGUUCCUCAGGAUGCUAAUAGGUAAACUUGUGUUCCUCAGGAUGCUAAUAGGUAAACUUGUGUUCCUCAGGAUGCUAAUAGGUAAACUUGUGUUCCUCAGAGUGGUAGUAGUAAACUUGUGUUCCUCAGGAUGCUAAUAGGUAAACUUGUGUUCCUCAGAGUGGUAGUAGUAAACUUGUAUUCCUCAGGAUGCUAAUAGGUAAACUUGUGUUCCUCAGGAUGCUAAUAGGUAAACUUGUGUUCCUCAGGAUGCUAAUAGGUAAUCUUGUGCUCCUCAGGUUGACCGGAUCUAAACUUGUGUUG
ensembl:lncRNA